AAAGAACGGAAAAGGCUCAAAUAUGCCAUCGAACUAUCAGAAAUGGCUCAUUUAUGCCACUCGUUGAAAGUUUGGCUCAAAUAUGCCACUGCCGUUACCUUUUUGGCUCAUCCAUGCCAUUAUUCACAAACGGUGGUUUUAAAAUACCAGAUUUUCCACGUGGCAAAAAUUUAUUGGUCCACGCCACUUAAAUGAAAACCAGCCAAAAUAAAUCCUAAUUAAACCAACCCGACCCGUUGACCCGACCCACCCAUCUUAUACCUAUUUCUUUGCCCCUCUUUCAUUAUGUUAUAACGAUUAACCCUAAUCAAACCCAUCUCCUCUCCUCUUCUUCCAACAUCCAUUUCAAGCAAACAAAUGUGACUUUCCAACUUUUUUUGAAGGAUUAAAGGAAUAGCUCAUCAAGAGCCAGAGAUGAGGAAGCUGGGGAAAUUCCAGUUGCAUUUGUCGUCAAGAGAGAUUGAUGUGAACUUUCCCAAGCAGAUGUGAAGACUUUGUUUCUACCAGGUUGUACCAUACAAGAAGAUUAGAAGGGUUUACUUCAGAGCUUCAAUACCCGGUCUGCAGCUGAAAAGAUUCUUAGAAUGGAGUUGAAGAACUUAUUAACUUCCAAACUAUAAAGCCUCUUCAUUAAUUGUUCAGCUCUAGAGUUCGCGCACUGGUUAAACAUAGAAGAAACCAAUGAUAGAUAAAGAUACAUUUUUUGUGUUUUCUCAUAGAUGCAAGUAUUUAACUAUAUAUUGGGGAAGCACUAGUUGCCCUUUGGUAAUAUGUACAAAUCUUGAUCGAUCUUUUGAUUUCAGUGCUGUAGUUGCCAUUUAAAGUUGUCAAAAUGUAUCGGAUAAUCCCUUUGUCCAGUA